CAGCUGUCCAGACUACAACUGACGCUGAGGCACGAAAGCGUGGGGAGCGAACAGGAUUAGAUACCCUGGUAGUCCACGCUGUAAACGAUGAUCACUCGUUGUUGGCUACAAGGUAGUCAGUGACUAAGGGAAACCAUUAAGUGAUCCACCUGGGGAGUACGUCGGCAACGAUGAAACUCAAAGGAAUUGACGGGGGCCCGCACAAGCGGAGGAACAUGUGGUUUAAUUCGAUGAUACGCGAGGAACCUUACCUGGGCUUAAAUGCAGGCUGCAUUCAUGUGAAAGCGUGAUUUCCUACGGGACUGCCUGCAAGGUGCUGCAUGGUUGUCGUCAGCUCGUGCCGUGAGGUGUCGGGUUAAGUCCCAUAACGAGCGCAACCCCUAUCGCUAGUUGCCAGCAUGUAAUGGUGGGGACUCUAGCGAGACUGCCGGUGUAAACCGGAGGAAGCUGGGGAUGACGUCAAAUCAGCACGGCCCUUACGUCCAGGGCUACACACGUGUUACAAUGGCCGGUACAAAGAGCAGCGACCUGGCGACAGGGUGCUAAUCUUUAAAGCCGGUCUCAGUUCGGAUCGAAGUCUGCAAUUCGACUUCGUGAAGGUGGAUUCGCUAGUAAUCGCGCAUCAGCCAUGGCGCGGUGACUAAGUUCCCGGGCCUGUACACACCGCCCGUCAAGCCAUGGAAGCCGGGGGUACCUGAAGUCCGUAACCGA
rnacentral:rRNA from 1 species